UACGUAGGUGGCAAGCGUUGUCCGGAUUUAUUGGGUUUAAAGGGUGCGUAGGCGGUCCUAUAAGUCAGUGCUGAAAUAUCCCGGCUUAACCGGGAGGGUGGCAUUGAUACUGAAGGACUUGAGUAAAGUUGAGGUUGGCGGAAUUGACGGUGUAGCGGUGAAAUGCUUAGAUAUCGUCAAGAACACCGAUAGUGAAGACAGCUAACUAAGCUUUAACUGACGCUGAGGCACGAAAGUGUGGGGAUCAAACAGGAUUAGAAACCCCAGUAGUCC
rnacentral:rRNA from 1 species